GAACAAUCGUCCUUUCAUCAAUCCUCUUGCUCCGUUCCCCGAAGAUAUCAUUUCGGUGAGGGAUCUUCUCAGGAAUGGUCCCUUCUUCUGGACUUCUUUUACGCCGAAGAGGGUUCGGAAGGCACUGAGAUUCGUGCAACCUGGUCCCGCUCUGGAUGCGGACACGGGAAGCGACUCCGAACCCGACGACCAGAAUCCCGUCGAAGCUCCGACAGCUGUGCCGGAGUCGAGCUCUUGGAAGGGAAAAGAUGUCGAUCUCGGCGACAUAGAGUUUUCGAUGGACGACUCUAUGCUUCCAGGAUGGGAUCCGAACCUUGCUUACGGCGACGGGAGCGGUUCGAGCGAGGCUCCUAUUCCGGAUUUCGAUGAUUUCUUUGCUGGGCUGCCAUCGGGUUUCGAUGCUCCUCCUCCUACGAAAGAAUCGGCGAGGCCGAGAGUCGUUGCGGAAGGAUCUCGCAUCAUCAAUGGGGUUAGUUUUUUUUUUUUUUUUUCCUAUGUAUGGAUUUGUAACACGCCCAUCGAAUUUGCAGGGCCUGAGCUUGCUGGGCUCGGCCAUCGAGGCGGGUCAUAGAGAAGCCAUGGUCUACCGUUUUAAAGCGGAGAAAGCGGAGCGGGAUCUUGCUCGCGUGCAAGGCGAGAUGCUGGAGCGAGAGGCACAGCUUACUCGCGAUCAUGCGCGGGCUGUUCGUAGAGCGGAGAGGAAAGGCAAAAGAGAAAUCGUUGAGGUGAUGAAGACUCGCGCAUCUCAGUUCCAGGUUGAAUACGGGAACCUUAAGAAUGCCUUUACCUCGGUGGGCGACUUUCGCGAGUGCCGUGGUUCGGUCGGAGGUCUUUGGCGGACGCAAGCCGACGACUAUGUGUUCGAAGAGGAGAUGAGCUUGAUGAAGAGUGGGAUGAGUGACCGUGCCCACGCUGAGGCGCUUAUCCCUCCGAUCGACGAGAGGAUUCAAGGGUUCUGGGAUUCCAUCCCGGUUUCUCCUGAUACCGGGAGGUCCCGAUUGAUUUUCACGAUGGUGGCGAGGAAGUGGAUCGUCCUGCGGAUGCGUUUGGUGCUUCGUUGUCCGGGGACUUCGACUUUGGAGUAUGAGGGGUGGAUCAGUUAUCCUUGUUUUCGGCCGAAUGUGGCCCUUUGAAUUUGGAUUUCGUUUAGGCCAAGAUGGCCGUAUUUGUAUUUCCGGGACUGGCCGUUGGUGGCUUUGAAUCCCUUGCCGCUUUUACGCGGUUUAUUUAUAUGAUAAAUGUUUUGUUUCAAGUUUUUCCUGAGUAAGGUUGAAGUAAAUACGAGUUGUCGUCUCGUAUGUAGUUCUAAUUAGACGUUCAAUCUGUUGGUUCGUUCGUGAUUUUCGUAAAAAUUUAUCUGUCUUUACGAUUUUCGAGAACAUUGAGAUACGAACGGAGAGGCAUGGUUUAUGAUCUCGUAUCUUUUAGAUAUCAUGCCUUGAGAUGUUUGAGACCAGAGCGUUGGGUUUAGGGCAAGACCUAGGUUUACUUUCGGUUAAGGUUUGUGCGGUGACUAGCCGGCUAUCGUUUUUCCUGUUGCGAUUUCUUCCUGACUCGCACCGGUUUAAAGUCCGCGAUAUGUUCUCGGCUUAUAUGACUUGUAUGGUACGAGUCGAGCAUCUUCUCAGAGUAAACUGGAAGUGCUAAACCAAAAUUUCGGAUUUUUGUUGUAGCGCGCUUUUGUCCUUGUGCUGGACGUUUUUAAAGAUCAAAAGAGUGAUCGGAUUGCGUUUGUUUAAGACGGCUGGCGUGUUCGUCGGGGCCAAUCGACGAACGGGGUGUAAGGUUUUUGGUGGUCGCGUUUGGACAAUUUGUUUAGCAUCGUCCUCGAAUUUUAACUUUUUGCGACGUCUCGCAGUUAUUUUCGAGGAUUAUGCGUGCAUUUUUGCGUGUUUGAGAGGUGAUACGUUUUUUGGGCCGGAUGAGGCCGCAGACGAGUGUAAACUGAAGCGUAGGCGUUUUCGAUAAAAAGACAGUGUAUAUUGUAAAAAUUUUUAUGUUUCUAAAAACUCGAUUACAAUAAUGGCGAUUGUGGGAGUAUAUGAGUAUACGCACCCACUCCCCCCCUUUUUAGAGAGGGGGAUAGCUGAACUCGUCUUUUGACAAGCUGCCUACGUACCCCUUUCGAGGAUCAAGCCAUCUCGUAGUUCUGUUUCAUGCCGCGAGUGUUCUUACUCAGCGGUUGGUGUCGCGAUGUCCGCCUUGACCGUGUCGAUCGUGGCUGGGUCGACGCUAUUUUCCGGAUGUUCCGGUUGAGUUGUCGCGUGGGCUUCGGGUUUAUGUCGAGCUUCGACAUCCGAUGCGUUUGCGUUGACAGAUGAUUUUACUUCGUCUUGGUGCGGGGCGCUUUUGGCAGAAGAUCGAUCUAUCUUCGCGCGUUUGCCGUUUGCAGAAGCCGUGAUUUGCCUUAACUUAUGCUCCGCGAGAAAGCAUAGUCGCGACUGUUUUUGGCAUCCCCAGAUGGCCGCGACUCCGUUCGGCGUUGGGAACUUGAGACCCAGGUGGUAAGUUGACGGAACUGCCUGCAUGGCGUUGAGCCAUGGGGUUCCCAUGAUCACGUUGUAGAUAGCGGGAUGGUCGACUACCGCGAAUUCGACGAUUUUCGUGAUCUCCUUGGCCAUGACUGGCAAUUGGAUCGACCCGAGAGUCAUCGACACUUCGCCUGAAAAACCCGUGAGUGGUUUUGGCGUUGGAAUUACUUCUCCAAGCUCGAUACUCAUCCGCUUGAGAGUGUCGCGGAAGAUUACGUUGACCGUGCUUCCCGUAUCGACGAGUACCCUUCCGACUUCUAAAUCUCGUAUGACGAGAUCUAUGACGAGCGGGUCGCAGUGAGGUUGGUCGAUACCGCCGGCUUCUUCCUCUGUGAAGGUGAUCGAGCAACUUUGGCCGUCUCGAGGAGGAGACCAUGUAGGCCAAUUUGCGCUUGAUUCUGCCUUCCGUUGGUAAGCCUUGAUGGCCGACACGGUAUCGCCGCAGUAUUGAGAUCCUCCGAUGAUCAUAUUGACUCUGCGACGAUUGUUAUCAUUCCCUUUGUCAUCCGGCCUCCUACCGCGUUUAUCCCCGGGUUGGUUUCGUUGAGGGGAUUUUUCAGCGGGCAGAUUUCUGUCCGUUUUUGGGGGCCGAUCAGAAUCGAGGAUGAGAUCCUUGACGCUAGUUACCUCCGAAAGCUCUCCAGCGAGUAGCUUCGCGGCCAGUCUUGCUCCCAAGACUUUGCAAUUGGUCGUGGAGUGUCCUCGGGAUUGGUGGAACUCGCAGAAGGUGUUCUCGUCGUACCCUUGAUUGCGAGUCCAUGUGUUGCCCGUGGUCCGGCCUUGCUCCGAAUUGAUCGCAUAGUUAUGCGCCCCUUGGAGAUCUUCCCCCUCGUGAUGGACGUACUUGUCGUUACGAGAGUUCUUCUUUUUCCCCUUCGGAUCCGCGUCUUUCGAGGAUGGUCUUGCCGGCUUAUGUUUUUGCGAUAAGACUUUAGUUUCUUCCUCGACUAUGAUGUAGUCCGUUGCUUUGUGGAGGGCGUCCUGGAUCGUUCGCGGUUUGUCGAGAGUUAUCCAUUUUCUGAAUUUCGACUUGUACCAGAGCGUCUUUCUCAGCGCGUCGAUGGCCACUUUGUCGCUUAUCCCGCUGACCCUGGACAUUAUCAGCUUGAACCGACUGAUAAACUCGCGGAGGGGUUCGUCUUCCCUCUGGGAGAGACUCCAGAGGUCCACAUCGGAGGUUUCCCUGUCUAUGAAUACAGAGUACUGUUUGAGGAAUUCCGAUGCGAGCUGUCGAAAACUCCCGAUGGUGUUGCGACGAAGGCGUGCGAACCAUUCGAGCGCUGCUCCUUCAAGAUUUUCGACAAACAAGCGGCAAUAGCCGGCAUCCUUUUCGCCGUCCUUCAGUCUUGCUCUUCCCAUCGCGAUAUGGAAAGCCUGAAGGUGCGCUUUCGGAUCGGCCGUACCAUCGUACUUUGGUACUCUGAUUUUUCCCGGAUCGGACACCCUCAUGUCCGAAAUGCGGCUGGUAAAGGGGGUCUUUCGAGCUCCUUCCAGCAGUCGAUCGAUCUCGGGGGCAGCACUAGUAGCAUGAUGGAUUUGAGACUUUACGGCUCUCACUUCUGCCGCAGUCUUAGUGAUGUAAUCGCGAAGAUCGCGGAUAUCCGAUGUCUCGUCAGUGGAUUUCCGAGCCUGUCGGCGUUUACUGCGAGUGAGCUCGGUUUGCCUUUCGGCCAGCUCCUCUUGUUCGUUCCAAUAGGCGACUUCUUCUUCUUCCGUCAUUGGUUUUUCGAACGGGGAGCCUUCCCGAGCGGAUCGGCUUCUAGUCCUUCUUGGAUGUCUGUCGACAUCCUCGUCGGUGUCGUUGGAGACAUCGCUAGGAUCCAGGUCAAUGUGUUCGGCUUCGUUAUCCUCCGAGUCCUUUGCAGGGGCGGAAGACUUUCAGAGUUCCCCUUUUCGAUGGGAGAUUUCUCGCUGGGGUUUUGACCGGAAGGUCGUUCCCGCGCGACUCCUGCUCUAUCGAGUGGGGUGGCGAAGUCGAGCCUCUUCCCGCGGAUUUUGGUGGUUCCGCGGGGACGGAUAGCUUGGGUCCUUGCCGUUAAGGUUUCAACCUGUUUGGUCAAGGUAUUCACGAGCUUAUCCUGUUCUUCCGACCUUUUUUCAUAGGUGGCGAACAUCUUUUUAAACUCCUCGAGCGUCGCGGCGUUGGCUUGCGCGUUGGCCGCAGAUACGUCCGCUACCGGAGUGUGGAGAUCGGUGCCGCUGCCUCCGUUAAGGGGAGUUUGCACGUUAUCCGCGUCGUUGGUUGACAUGUCUGACUGUGUGUGGCUUUUGCGGGUUAGAUUGAUCCGUAAGGCCCCCUCCUUCUAGCGCCAAACUGUGGGAACCGAAAUUCGCACUGUCGAUUUCCGUUUAAAUAAGGAAACUAAGAAAACCCUAGUUUCCCAGAGGACCCGGAUAUCUGUUAAUUACCACACGUCAAGCAAUCAGAACACGAGAAUAACAACGAUAAAGAUAAGAAAUCGAAAAGAGAGCAAAGUAGAUCUUAUUCCGAAUCUGCGUAUGAGCGUUACAACAAGGUAUAAGCCUGGGCUCGAGAGCUGUCGGCGAGAUUCCUAGUUCUAGCAACCCUAAGACGGCUAAACCUAAUUGAGUCGCAGCUCGAAAUAACAAAAACGGAAAGUUGCCUAAAUUGCUCUAAGUGCUAAGUUUGCUCUGAAAAAGUUCUCCCCUCUGCUCCUCGCCUAGGACUCCUUAUAUACUAGCUCCAAGGUCGGUUUACGUUUUUACUCUUCUGCCCUUAAGCCGUCAUAGCAAAAAAUGGAGAUAUUCCAUUUUUCCCGAUCUUCACAAUUAUCUUCAAAACUUCCGUAUUUAUCCGCGGAAACUUGACAUUUAUCCUUCCUCGUGGGCCAAGCGUGAACCAUGCUGUGGUUCACGGGCUUUUGUUAGGAAAAAUCGUAGGAUGGGCCUCGAGUCGUGUUUUAGGUCCCUUUGGGCCGUCUUCCGACUCGACACGUUUACUACGAGUUUUCCGCGGUUUCUAAUCGAAGUUUUGAUCGAUGGAUUUAGAAUAGCGGGAAACAUGGACUGAGCUUGCCACGGUCUUCGGGAGAUAGCAUUCGAAGGUUUGACGAGAAUGCAAGGACUGGUGUCGUAUCGAUGUUCGGAAAGGUUCAAUCGCUACACCGCGACCGAUCUUUGGCUCGAGCCCGGUCGCUACGUAGCGACCGAGCGGGACGAUCGCUCGGUCGCUACGUAGCGACCGAGCUUGGCUCGAGCUCGGUCGCUACGUAGCGACCGAGCGGGACGAUCGCUCGGUCGCUACGUAGCGACCGAGCUUGGCUCGAGCUCGGUCGCUACGUAGCGACCGAGCGGGACGAUCGCUCGGUCGCUACGUAGCGACCGAGCUUGGCUCGAGCUCGGUCGCUACGUAGCGACCGAGCGGGACGAUCGCUCGGUCGCUACGUAGCGACCGAGCUUGGCUCGAGCUCGGUCGCUACGUAGCGACCGAGCGGGACGAUCGCUCGGUCGCUACGUAGCGACCGAGCUUGGCUCGAGCUCGGUCGCUACGUAGCGACCGAGCGGGACGAUCGCUCGGUCGCUACGUAGCGACCGAGCUUGGCUCGAGCUCGGUCGCUACGUAGCGACCGAGCGGGACGAUCGCUCGGUCGCUACGUAGCGACCGAGCUUGGCUCGAGCUCGGUCGCUACGUAGCGACCGAGCGGGACGAUCGCUCGGUCGCUACGUAGCGACCGAGCAUGGCUGAGCUUGGUUGCUACGUUGCGACCGAACUUGGCUCGGGUUUGGUUUGAAUCUCAAAGGAUACUUCUUCGUAAAAACCUCGUGUAGGUUAUUUUUACGGAAAUUACAUCCCUUCUUUUACUAACUCUUUCGGAAAUGCGAUCUCCGAGGAUUUUCGGGUGGUAAUUCCGUCGUGACCGUUUUUGACCCCAACAGUUAGCCCCCCAGCCCGUUAGGAUCAUGCAUCGUAGGAUCCUAGCGUGCGGUUAGGCAUGUUUGGCAAGUUAGGCGUGAUGGGUGGAAUUAAUAUCCGAAAGUCCGAGCUUGAAUAGUAAAUCCUCAUGUCUUAUAAGAAGAGAGGUAACUUGUUCCAUAAUUUUUUCACUUUCUUGUUUUUCUCUAAGAUCUCUAAAAAACUUUCUAUCUUUCUUUCCACCCUUUUCCUUUAUUCUCUCAAGAGAAGUGCAAAGAUGUCGAGCAAGAAAAAGAUUGCGAAAAAAGGGUCUUCGUCCGCGAGCCCUUACGAAGAGCUCAUCGUUCCGAAGAUGGAGUUCGUGCCUCACUCGGUGCAUCCUGCCGAGAACGAGGCAUGGUGGGUUGCUCAUUAUGGCUCGUUGACCCCUCCCAAGGAGAAGCCAUUCCCGAUCCUGGUCCAUCGUGGAGUCGAGGAAGAGGAUGCAAGCAGGACUACCGACGAGUUUCUCGCGACGAUGCGGUCGUUCUACCACAUCUCGGAUGCCGUGGAGUUCCGGGUUCCCUGCCGCGGGGAAUGUGCUAACAACCCCCCGGAGGGUUACUUUACUUGUUAUGAGGCGUUCAUAGUGCGUUGUCGCCUCUGGUUCCCCAUACCCGAAAUUCUCGUCCGAGUGUUGGACCGUUUCGAAGUUGCGAUAAGUCAGUUGACACCCCUUGCCAUUCAACACCUUAUUGGGAUCUUGGUCCUAAGCUAUGAGCAUGGCCUUUCCCUCUCCGUCGAUCAUUAUGAAGCGCUUUUGAGGCUUCAACUUGUCACGGAUUCGGAUAAGCAUAGGUUUGUCCCUCGGAAAUUUAUGUCGGUGGUUAAGAAGUUCAUUUCAAACUUCAACUCGUGGAAGAAGUUCUUUUUCUUUGUUCGUUUGGACGCUGCGUCCGUCGAAGAGAGUUGCAUUCCACUGUUCCGAAGGUUGCCGAACAAUCGUCCUUUCAUCAAUCCUCUUGCUCCGUUCCCCGAAGAUAUCAUUUCGGUGAGGGAUCUUCUCAGGAAUGGUCCCUUCUUCUGGACUUCUUUUACGCCGAAGAGGGUUCGGAAGGCACUGAGAUUCGUGCAACCCGGUCCCGCUCUGGAUGCGGACACGGGAAGCGACUCCGAACCCGACGACCAGAAUCCCGUCGAAGCUCCGACAGCUGUGCCGGAGUCGAGCUCUUGGAAGGGAAAAGAUGUCGAUCUCGGCGACAUAGAGUUUUCGAUGGACGACUCUAUGCUUCCAGGAUGGGAUCCGAACCUUGCUUACGGCGACGGGAGCGGUUCGAGCGAGGCUCCUAUUCCGGAUUUCGAUGAUUUCUUUGCUGGGCUGCCA
rnacentral:lncRNA from 1 species